rnacentral:rRNA from 1 species
AUGCACCCGGACGAUGUCGCGAAGACGGCCUUUCGCACUUAUCACGGCCACUUCGAGUUCUUGUUGAUGCCCUUCGGCCUCUUGAAUGCCCCGACGACAUUUCAAGCCUUGAUGAACGACGUCCUCUGCCCCUACUUGCGACGGUUUGUGCUCGUUUUCUUUGAUGACAUUCUUAUCUACAGCUCGUCGUGGGCGGAGCACCUGCAGCACGUGGCCAUCGUCUUCAACGAGCUUCACAAUCCUAGUAGAAGUGAAACCGGUUCCAAACUGGUGAGAAUGGUCAGACUAUGGCAGGUCUAA